UAGUAAAUAAGAGCAUACUAUGGAACAUCUUCGAUGUCCCUCUUUAAAUCCUAGUAACUUUUUAAAAUGAGUUUAUUUGCUCAUGGAAACAAGCACUUUAAAGAUAGUUGAGAAAGCCCUACCUAAAACCACAAUCAACAGUUUCUGGAAUCUAUCCGACAAUGCUUUCUGAAUAGUUUGUUUCUGGGAUGUCUUCUCCUUCAUAAGGAAAAAUAGUGGUCUUAGAUUCAACCAGAACAAAUGGAUGGAGAAUGUCUAGAUGAGUGCUGAUAAUAUGUCUAAAAAUGGAAGUAUGUCCACUCUUCUUGGAUGCAUAUCUUGGUGAUGACGGGCACACACAGCACACGGUAUCCUGGGAGGGCCCAUCACCACUGUUGCCCUCUAUUCCAGAAGUUCCUGAUGUGCUGGCAGUGAGGUCUGGGAGGGAACUGGGCACUCAUGGAUCUAAAAUUGGUAAGUGGAAGCCGCACUUCUACAAACUCUGCUCUUCUGUGAGUCCAAGGCUGAGACACCAUACAGAGAACGGAUUGGUGUGAUAAUGGACUUCCCUCCUUCAGAGUAUCCAAAGGCUUCUCCACCACCCGGAAUCCUAGAACAGCAACACCACUUCUAAGACACAAAAGAACUUCAAGCUUUGCUUCUCAGGUGGUCACACAGUGUCUUCGUUUUCCUUUUCAAGGAGUUGGAGCAUUCUGUACCCAAGAAUACACCUACACAGGUCCUCCAUGUCCAGAAGACUUUGGGGAUAGUUCACGUCCAGGGAACAUGUGGACAGCUGGAAAGAAGAAACAGUGUGAGUUUCCUGAAC